CCCAAAUUUCAUUUUGAAUUGUAAUCCCUGUGUCUCAAGGGAGGAUCCUGGUGGGAGGUGAUUGAAUUAUGGGAGUGGUUUACCCUAUUCUGUUCUACUAAUAGUGAGUGAGUCUCAGGAGAUCUGAUGGUUUUAAAAGUGGCAGUUUUUCUUGUGCACGCUCUCUCUCUCACCUGCCGGCAUGUAAGAAGUGCCUUACAUCUUGAUUACUCCACUACAGACCUGGAUGUGGUCGUGCCUGUGGAGGCAGAAGGGCUGUGGGGAGUUUUCAUUCAGCAGCCUAGUCUGAUCAUCAUAAUAAAGAUGUGAUAUUUUUGUAACAUAUUUUGACUGUCAGACCACAUUUCUGUGUUUAACUUGAGUGAAGUGGAGACUAACAGGUAAGAAUAAUUUUCUAUAUGUCGUCUUAGAGACUUUUGUAGAGGGCCGCUCCAAAUGAAACCUGUAUUCUUUAUAAUAUUUAACGUCAUUUUUAAAUUAAAUUAAUAUAUGUGUGUUCAUCAAACAAGAAUCAACAGUGGUAGUUGUGCUGUGGGCUCUUCUCUUGUAUACAAAUAAUUAUUCCUUUGCAUGUUUACUUUCGUCUUUUUUCUUUUGCUUAUCAAGAUUGCUUCACUACCUAUUAGUGGCUAGAAAUUCUAACAGCAUAUUUUGCAAAAAAAUACCUCAGUUAUAAAAAAAAGGUGUAAAAUUUUAUGGAUCAUACUAUUUGUCAAAAUCAUGAUUGUUUAUAUUUGCCAAGG
rnacentral:lncRNA from 1 species